rnacentral:lncRNA from 1 species
UUAGAACUUCAUUUCUUUUCUCCUCAACUCUGUCAACAACUGUUGAGUAGUUACUUCACUCUGAUUUGUGUGUCAGUGUGAAAAAAAAAACAAACCCAAACACACCUGCUUUCUUUUCAUUGUUCUCUGUGUUUUUUAAUCUAUUUUAGUGUCCCUCAGCUGAAAAUUUUGGUGAGCUUUUUGGUAGGCAUGGUAAAUUGUCCGGCCCAGUGGGACUCUGACCUUUUGUUACUGCUUGUAAUUCAAUUUCUUUACAGAGGAUCAACUAGGCUUCAAAAUGAAAGUGAGGAAGAAGAGUCGCUAAAAGUAUUAAUUUGAACAAUAAUUAUUUCUGGUCCAAAAGCACCACUCAGCACCGUGCAGCUGGUCAAUGAAUGCU